UGGUGUUUUUUUCUGCCUGGAACAUUCUCGGCGCUGUGAGAUCUCUUCUCCUAACAAGAGGCUGCAGGACGCCGGCGUGUUUCCUCUCGGAGGAUCUGUAAAUGACCUUGUCUCCGUCCACUCCUCCGCAAAGUGGAACAUCGUCUCUCAAAGGCUGAAAUUACAGCUGCAGAAAGGAGGGAGCGCUGUGUAUUAAAAGGUCUUUGUCUCUCAGGGUUAAACAAAGGGGAAGUCAUUUCGUGGACAGGAUGGGUUCUCCAGGAAGACGUGGGGUUUUAUCUCCCAGGGAAAGAGACGGAGUUAAAUCAGAGAUCCUGCUGAGAAACAUCCUUCGUAAAAGAAAGUAUGAAUGGAGAAGAAUCCACGUGGCUGAGGGUCUGUUAUAAAUAUGAUUAUUCAGAUUAAUGUCAAGUUCCUAUAUUUCUGCUCUUUUGAAUUUGAUACUCCUGUCCGCUGGCUGUUACAGGACAGCCCCCCCGA